UUGUAGGCUGUCUGUCGCGCAUGUGCAGUUUUGUUGGUUUUGUUCGGUCGCUUUGGCUGUACGGACGUUUCUCAUCGCCGCGAGUGCAACCCGUCCGAGAAAGAGCCCGUAAGGGGAAAUGUUUCUGCCAACCCCCAGCAGACCAGUCAGGCUCGUUUGAAAUGUCAAGUGAGGACGCGUACCUGUACCUGAAGCCAAAGUCGCUCUUCGCCAUCAGGAUUUUUGCCGUGUCAGAUUUCACUCCGUUUGCAGGCAAUCUGAACAACGAUAGGGAGAUGGAACGCAAGAUGAAACCGUGAGCGACUUUGUGCAGACGGUUAGGUGUGUAUGGCGCAACGUGCACCAGGAAGAAAGACGCAAGCAUUGUGUUGAAUGUGGCGGAGACUCAUGCACGUCAUUACAAGAUUUGCAAAUUCUUUGAGAAAGACAAGUUGGACCGGAAGUGAGAAUCUAUGUGCUUUUUUUAUUGUUGUUCACCGUCCGAUCACUGCGAAUUUUGUGCCCGCGUGAGACGAGCACUCAGGCAUGUUGAUGAUGAAUGGGGAUGCUUUCAGAGGUACGUACUCGUGAAUGGUGAAUAAAGUGAUUUCUUGCUGCUAUCUACUGUUUCGCGCGGGUUAUGAGCGUGGGACAUGAGCGGCUUACUUCGCAGAACAUUUCAGAAAGCAUGUAGACAGCGACUGGGAGGGGUGGUGAAUAGCUUGCCGUUGCUGGCCAUACAGCAGCAUUUUCAAGAUUGUCAUAACCACCAUUAAUGCAACUAUUGUGCCCAAUCAGCAUCAAGGCAGCCCUCAUGUUAGCAUCAGCAUCAGAGCGGCUCUAGUGUUAACAUCAGCCUGAACAUCUCUGUUAACAUUAGUAUCAGAGCAGCUCCACGUGUUAACAUGAGCAUCAAGACAGUGUCCCCAAUCACAUCAAACCUGAUAUCACCCGUCAAUAGGGAACACACCCAUAAACGUGUGUUACCACGGCAGCGCCUCUGCUACUCUGGUUACAUGCUAUGUAGUACAAUAUGGCAUAACCUCGUUCUCUACACAACCUGUAUAUUUUUGUCUCCAUUUUUCUAAAAAUGCUUAUAAACCCAGCAUAUGUAUAAGCUCCU